rnacentral:misc_RNA from 1 species
AUGUUUACCCCAGUAAGAAAAUCAUAAAUCUGCCCCUUUUCAACUAAUUUCUGGAACUUAAUAGCAUCACUAGUACAUGUUGCUUGAAAAUCCUGAUAAUAGUCCAGUUCCUGUCGUAGUUUGCUUAACUCCACGAAGUACUGUGCAAUGGUCAUCUCACCUUAGUUUGUAUUGUGAAUUUUAUUCCGUAGCUCAUAGAUUUGCGCAUCA